rnacentral:rRNA from 1 species
GUCUGGUCCUAUUGUGUUGGCCUUUGGGACCAGAGUAAUGAUUAAUAGGGACUGUCGGGGGCAUUCGUAUUUCAUUGUCAGAGGUGAAAUUAUUGGAUUUAUGAAAGACAGACCAAUGUGAAAGCAUUUUCCAAGGAUGUUUUCAUUAAUCAAGAACGAAAGUUGGGGUCUCGAAGACGAUCAGAUACCGUCCUAGUCUCAACCAUAAACGAUGUCGACCAGGGAUCGGCGGAUGUUGCUCUAAGGACUCUGCCAGCACCUUCUGAGAAAUCAGAGUGUUUGGGUUCCGGGGGGAGUAUGGUCGCAAGGCUGAAACUUAAAGGAAUUGACAGAAAGGCACCACCAGGAGUGGAGCCUGCAGCUUAAUUUGACUCAACACGGGGAAACUCACCAGGUCCAGA